GCUUAUUCUCAGGGCGGGGUGUAAUUCCCCACCGGCGGUAAACCAGUGAACGUAUGAACGAAUAAGGUUCUGCGCACUGGAAGCCCGCGAGCGCUCAGGCUGUGUUUUCCGAUAUCAAUUGUCGGUUUUCGCAACAUGAGGUCAGCAGACCCGGUGUAAUUCCGGGGCCGACGGUUAAAGUCCGGAUGGGAGAGAGUAACG
rnacentral:ncRNA from 22 species